UCUACGGGGGGCAGCAGUGGGGAAUAUUGGACAAUGGGCGAAAGCCUGAUCCAGCCAUGCCGCGUGUGUGAAGAAGGCCUUCGGGUUGUAAAGCACUUUCAGUGGGGAAGAAAGCCUUGGGGCUAAUACCCUCGAGGAAGGACAUCACCCACAGAAGAAGCACCGGCUAACUCCGUGCCAGCAGCCGCGGUAAUACGGAGGGUGCGAGCGUUAAUCGGAAUUACUGGGCGUAAAGCGCGCGUAGGCGGUCUGAUAAGCCGGUUGUGAAAGCCCCGGGCUCAACCUGGGAACGGCAUCCGGAACUGUCAGGCUAGAGUGCAGGAGAGGAAGGUAGAAUUCCCGGUGUAGCGGUGAAAUGCGUAGAGAUCGGGAGGAAUACCAGUGGCGAAGGCGGCCUUCUGGACUGACACUGACGCUGAGGUGCGAAAGCGUGGGUAGCAAACAGGAUUAGAUACCCUGGUAGUC
rnacentral:rRNA from 1 species